rnacentral:rRNA from 1 species
UACGUAGGGCGCAAGCGUUGUCCGGAAUUAUUGGGCGUAAAGAGCUCGUAGGCGGCUUGCCACGUCGGAUGUGAAAGCCCGGGGCUUAACUCCGGGUCUGCAUUCGAUACGGGCUGGCUAGAGUGUGGUAGGGGAGAUCGGAAUUCCUGGUGUAGCGGUGAAAUGCGCAGAUAUCAGGAGGAACACCGGUGGCGAAGGCGGAUCUCUGGGCCAUUACUGACGCUGAGGAGCGAAAGCGUGGGGAGCGAACAGG